rnacentral:rRNA from 1 species
GGACCCACCUGAUUUCCAUGCCGAACUCAGAAGUGAAACGAAAUAGCGCCGAUGGUAGUGUGGGGCUUCCCCAUGUGAGAGUAGGACAUCGCCAGGC